UGGCAAUAUGUCUACGCUGGU
rnacentral:siRNA from 1 species